ACCUUCUAGCAGGGAGCAAAAGGGCAGUUUUGCAUCCUUGGUAGCUACAGAGCUCUUGUGAAAACAGCUCCACCAGCAUGGGACUACAACCACAAGAAAUGAAAGCCUGUAGGCAAGGACCAGCAAGUCAUACACAGCUAUCAUACAGGAUGACUAUACAUUCCAGAACUCAUACAUGAAGACAGAAGACUUGUUUUAGGAAUACUAUUACUGCUACAGAUGAAGCGUUACAUAUGAUAACUUUAAAAGAACAGAAGGCUCCCAUUCAGAUACCUACUGAAGAGAUACCAUGCCUGUACAAUUGGACUGCUCAAACUACUUCACCAAUAUCUGAGAACUUCCCAAUGGAAACAUUUUGUAUCCCUGCUGAAUCAACAGGUGACUUCAGAAAAGAAUCCAAAGUGUGAGACAUGUUUUGAUUCAUGAUUACCCUGAAGAAGGAUGAUAUCAUAUGCUGAGAUGACAGAAAGUUAUGAAGAUUUGAUAAAAUGAUGUCUGUGUCAUCACUGUCUUUAUUCCAUACAAUUAAGGGUUUAUUCAUGUGAUGCUCAGAGUGGAUAAUGUUACACAACUUUCUAUCUGAAAGACUUUUUAGAUGCUUAUUAUACUUUCCUCAGAUUUACAGAUUAUAACUGAAGAUUCCUAUCCAAAUCUGUGUUUUUUUUUUUUUACUUUUCUCUCCAGACAUAUUGCUAGUAUCCUUCUUCAUCAUUGUUUUUGCACACCA